GGGCGGUUAGCUCAGUUGGCCAGAGCGCUCCCUUACAAGGAGGAUGUCACAGGUUCAAGUCCUGUACCGCCCA
rnacentral:tRNA from 1 species